GGGCAGGAUGCAGGAUUGUGGUUUUCUUGUGUCUACUAUCUGAUCCCUGAUAGAUGAGGCUGCUCCAGAGGCUAGAGAAGGCUUCCUAAGGGCAAGGCCAAGGCCCAAGAGAUUCUGGGGCUGUUGCUGACCACUGGUGGGCAAAACUGGGUCCUAGGCUCUCUGGUGGGCAAGGCUAUGUCCAGAGGUGGCUGUGAGCUCAGGAGGUCUUUAAACAGCCUGUCUACUUAUGGGUGGGGCUGUAUCCCCUCCAGUUGGUUGCUUGGCCUGAGGCAUCCCACCGCUUGUCCCAAUAGGCUGCUGGGUGGGGCCAGGUCUUGGUGCUAAUGAUCCAGAGACAGAAUUCCACCAUUGUGCCCACCAGCAUCAGUGUCCAUAUAGUAGAAGCAGCUCCCAAGAAUGGCUGUCACCUGUGUGUUUGUCCUCAGGGUGAGCCACAGCUACUCUCUGCCUCUCCAGGAUCCCAGCAAGUAGGUUUGACUCAAGAUCCUAUCAAAUUACUGUUUUUCCCCUGAGCCCUGAGUGUGUAAGAGUUUGUGGGCUCUAAGAGUAAAGUCUCUAUUUCCCCUAGUCCUUUGGGAUUCCUAAAAUUAAGCUCUGCUGGCUUUCAUCUUCCCAGUGCAAGACCCUUAGGCUAGGGAGUGAUAAAAGACCCAGCACUCUCACACCUUUGGGAAAACCUUUGUUAUAUAGUUAUUCUCCAGUGUGGGUUGCCUGCCUGGGGGUAUGGGAUGACUCUAUUGUGAGUCUGCCCCAUAACUCACCUUGUUAUACUUCCUCUUUGUGUCUUUAGUUGUAGAUUUUUUUUUUCUAGUCGGUCUUGAAAUUUUUCACUGAUAGUUAUUAUGAGUAUGGUUGUGAUUUGCCAUCUUGGCUGAUACCCCCAUGACAUUUUAUAAUGAAAUAAUUUAAAAUAGAUCUGGCACACAGUAGAUGCUUCAUAAAUAUUAGUUCCCUUUUCUUUUUCCUACAUUUUGAACUCUUGACACAAAUGAAAUGAAGACACAGAAGACAUUUGGGGUGGUUCUGUUUUGCCUUGUCUCACUAUGGGGUUCUGAAUGCCACUUAUGAAUAAGAGCUGAUUAUGCUCAUUCAUCUCUUCUCAGUUCCAUGAUUACUGAUGUGGUAAUUUAAAAUAGGCAUGGUGGAAAUAUUUAUACCAUGAAAACCAACUUUAAUUUUAUAAAUCAUCACUGUUUUGUUAUCUGAGAGAUGAUUGUUAAACAUUUAUCGGUACACCACUGCUAAUAUCUACAGAUUUCUUUAAGAGUAAACUUUAUUAUUAUUCAGAGCUACAUUAAGUGCCUCAUCCCUUUGUCAUGAUUAAUAAAUUUAACUGUGUUCUCAUCAGUUGGAAACAGAUAACCUCGACUGGAUAAAUACUGUAUUCUUAACUAACAAGGUAAUUUCUCUGUGACUUUUUUCAAGGGGGUGGUGAUAAGAAAACAUAAGAUCGACCAUCUUAACCAUUUUUUUCAUUUUUUUUCAUCUUACCCCAUUUUUUUUAAUUUUUUGUUUUGUGAUUUUUAGGGCAACACCCAUGGCAUAUGGAAGUUCCUAGGCUAGAGGUUGAAUCAGAGCUACAGCUGCUGGCCUACACCACAACCACAGCAACAUGGUAUCCAAGCUGUGUCUAUGACCUACACCAUAGCUCAUGGCAAUGCUGGAUCCCCAACCCACUGACCAAGGCCAUGGAUUGAACCUGAACCCUCAUGGACACUAGUCGGAUUUGUUUCUGUUGCGCCACAAAGGGAACUCCUCAUCUUAACCAUUUUAAGUGUACCUUUCAGUAGUGUUAAAUGUGACUUAUUGUUCUUUGUUUUCUAUAGCACAGUUUAUGUAGUCGAAGUUGGGCAUUGAUUAUAAAAUGUCUAAAUAGUUUUAUUUCAUUUGUGAAAGUGGUUGAGUCUUGUUAUGGCCAGGCUUAAUUUUUUAUAAUUAGUUGUUGAUUGAUUUACUUCUAUCUGGUCUUUCAGAAUCUCUUGCAACCAAUUUCACAUUAGGCCAGUUCUUAGGGACCUUGGUCACUUGGGAUUCUUGACUUCCUUCCUAGUAUGUUGAAGUCAUGUUAUACAGCUUUAAUGACCUCCAGUCUCUAACUCUCAAUUCCAAAUUCCAGAUUCCUGAGAUAGUACUGGGAUUCACAAGCUUGGGUCCAGAAGGCACAGUUGGAGUGCUCCAGGGCUAUCUCAUGGUGAUCAUUUUGAGUGAUGUGUUAGUGGAUCUGCUCCUGCAUAUAGAGAAAUUCUGGGCAGUUAAAGCACCCAGUCUAGUACAAUGAUUUUUAUAUAUCAAAUGAUGAUAAAUGAUGGCUUUAAAAUGUUUAAUUAGAAUAGCUGGUAUGUUCGGAAUAGAACAGUAUAGAUAAAAUUAGCAUAAAAUUUCUGUAAUUUGAAUGAAAGAGAAAGAAGAGAGUUAACAUAAUUCAUUUGGAACUCCAUCUGGUUAGAAUUUUGGUUAUAUAAUUAUAAAACUAAUUUCUUGGAUUUAAAACAGAGACUAUUCCUUUCUGGUGCGAUGUAAGCAUUAACACAUGUACUCUUACAUUGUUCAAAUGAGAAAAGGGGCUUCAAAUAUUUUUAACUCCAAUUAAAGUGGACAAAUUGGGACAGAAACUGUUGAAGUGAAUAGUGUCCAGGAACAUAACAGUUUACAGUGAAGUCUAUAGUCUUGUCAAGACCUGAGUAGGCAUUUCCCCAAAAAGUGAUUAUGUUAUAGGAGACAGAAUAAAAUUUGGCACAGAGAUUUGGAUUGUGAGUCUCUCUCCUACCCACUGAUUUUACACCAUUCACUAGCUAUGUGAUCCUGGACACAUCAUUUAAAACUUUCUGAGCCUUAAUUUCCUGUCCAUAAAACAGAGACAAUAACAUGCAUUUGGUAGAAAUGUUUUGAAAAUUAAAUAAUGUAUGUGAAUAUACUUUUACACUGUAAUGUCUGCAUAAAUGUAAAGUAUUAAUACUUUGACUCAGCUUUUAGCUACAGGUUAUCUUAUUCAUGUAUAACCAACUACUUACACAUAUCAAAUGACUGCAUGUUACUUAACUCUUUUUUAGCACCUACCAUCUGCAGAUACUGUGGGGGGCCAUUGAGUUAUCAAGAUCCAUCUAAAAUGAUCUCUGCUUCCAAGCAGCUAAACCCAUGGCAAUUUGUUAUUUAAUUUGAAUAGUUAUCAUGUUUUUUUUUUCAUAUUAUAAAGCCAGGCCUAAAAAGCAAUAGCCCAAAAUCUAGAAAUGCCAGAUAUUUGCACAUGAUUUUCAUAGUCAGUGGUCUGUAGGAUCAGCAGUCCUUAUAGUGAAAUCUUUAGCAAAUAGCCAGCUUGGAGGACAACCUUUCUUGGAAGGUUAUUUUUGGAGCAAGGUUCUUUGCAACAUUGACUUUGGGUAGCAUUACUUUCAGUCCUGACUGUACAUCUUCUGUAUAAGGCCUUUGGAAUUUAUUCAUCAGAAAAUAUGUUCAUUUCUUUUUAAAAUAUGGAUUUAUUUAUUUUAUGACUGCAAACACAGUACACUGUAGUGGACACUGCUACGCUGUAAUACACCACCAGAGCUCUCCUAUAGAAGUGAAAGACUUCUAUCUCCAGCUACUUGGAGUAUCUCAAAGUGCCACAAACUGGGUGACUUAAAAAAAUAGAAAUUUGCGAGUUCCUGUUGUGGCACAGCGAAAAUGAAUCCGACUAGGAACCAUGAGGUUGCCAGUUUGAUCCCUGGCCUCGCUCAGUGGGUUAAGGAUCUGGUGUUGCCAUGAGCUGUGGUGUAGGCCAUUUGGAUCCCGUGUUGCUGUGGCUGUGACAUAGGCUGGCAGCAACUCCUAUUAGACUGCUAUCCUGGGCACCUCCAUAUGUGGUGGAUGCAGCCCUAAAAAGAUAAA
rnacentral:lncRNA from 1 species